rnacentral:lncRNA from 1 species
UGGUGGUGGGCGCCUGUAGUCCCAGCUACUCGGGAGGCUGAGGCAGGAGAGUGGCGUGAACCCGGGAGGCGGAACUUGGAGUGAGCCGAGAUCGCGCCCCUGCACUCCAGCCUGGGCGACAGAGCGAGGCUCCGUCUCAAAAAAAAAAAAAAAAAAAGAGGCUGACAAAUGCAGUUUCUGGGAAAGAAACAUUUAGUAGGCACUUACAAACAGAAAUGAUGCCUCAGGUGUUUGCAAGAUAAGAUGGUGGAACUCCACGCUUACCUCCAGACCCAGGGCUCUGCAUCGGGAGUUUGCGUAAGGGUAAGAUUUACCUGAAGUAUGUGAAAGUGAAAGUAGAAAUCGUAGAGGCAUUCCCGGAACGAGAGUUAAUCAGAAGUCAACGUGGCGGAUUAGCAUCCACGAUGGAGUUGCUUUAGCUUCCACAGCUGGUUUGGACUGCUGAGACGCAAGUUCGUUUUACUCUAUUAUUAUUUUGUAAUUUUCUUUCAUCAGAAACUCACUCUGAGGAUUCAGAAUUCCACAAUUUAGCAAAGUGUUUAAUCCUUAAUAUAGAGGAAAUUCAUAUUCAAUAAAAGCCUACUUCAGUGCUUCUGUACCUCCUGGGGCUCAUAAAUGUACAAACCAGCAGUUUCAGGCUGGGGGUCCUCAGUCUCCCCAACCAGUGCUGACACAUGCCGAGCUGAAUUUGAAACAGUGGGAGAUCUAGAGAUGCAUGAAUCACUGACUCCGCUGUGACACUCCUAGAAAUGAAGGCAACUGCUCCCUGGACAAGGUGCUUGGUGUGAGUAAAGUGUUUUCGUAUCCACUGAUGAAAGACACAUGCAACAGUAAAAUCAAUUCAGUGCCUUUUUCCGACUUUUCCAGCCAAAAGCUCUGCUAAAAUGUUGUGACUGUAGCUUCACAGCUGUGAAGAAUUUUAUUCUGUUACCGGCAAUUCCAUCCUUUUCGCUGCCGUGGUUUUCAUUUCCCUCCUGGUGGUUUGAGUCCUCACGCCCAGUCUCUGCUCCCGUGGUCCACCUGAGCCACUUGCCCUGCUUUGAGAUGACCUCAUUCAGCCCUCCAGUUGCCAUGGCAGCACCAGGAGUUCGGAGGAAUGUUGUUUUCAAGGUCUCGGCAGCUCUUUCCUCUGGGGUGAUUGAUUCGGGAUCUUUUGGGUUAGCAUUCACAUCAAAGAGACUCAUUUAAUUUUCCCAGCCACUUUUCUCUCCACAUCUGUAUCUAACCCCCUGCCCUCCGUGCUGGCUUUUCAGAAGAUUUAGAUACACUUAUUCAGAGCUUUAAAGUUGUUUGGGCUUUAACAUGCUUAUUGACAAACAAUCCACGGCUGGCCCAUGUCUAGACCCUCAAAUGCUGGGUAGGCACCACCUGGUUCACUGUAGUUUACUCAUGGAGAAAAUUCUGGAUUCCUGUUACUGGCUGGAACUUUCUAGAUGGCUGCCGUGACUCUAGGAAGAGUGAGGCUGGAAACUCCGGGAACUUUGGAGCCUAGCCCUUUCUGAUUUCCAAGACUGGCUGCCUGCUCUUUCUCAGACCUGUCCUGACGUUCUUCUAUGUUCUACUGGUUGACCGAGAUAAGGAUUUUAAGAGCGUUAGCCCCAAUCCCAGCAUGAUAAUUCCCAGGUUAAGAUUAAGAAUGAGGCUGGGAGUGGUGGCUCACACCUAUAAUCUCAGCACUUGGGGAGGCCAAGGUGGGGGGAUCAUUUGAGGUUGGAAGCUCGAGACCAGCCUGGCCAACUGGUGGAACCUCGACUCUACUAAAGAAAUACAAAAAUUAGCCAGGCAUGGUAGCAGGUACCUGUUGUCCCCCCUACUUGGGAGGCUGAGGUAUGAGAAUUGCUUGAACCCGGGAGGCAGAGGUUGCAGUGAGCCGAGAUCCCACCACUGUACUCCAGCCUGGGCAACAGAGCAAGACUCUGUCUCAAAAAAGAAAAAAAAAAAAAGGUAGGAAUGAGCACCUGGUGGCUCACACCUAUAAUCCCAGCUCCUCAGGAGGCUGAGGUGGGAUGGAAUACUUGAAGCUAGGAACUAAGAGCAGCCUGCAUUUAAUAACCAUAGUUAAUACUUUAAAUCAAAAGAGACAUUUAAAUAGAAUGUUCUAUGCUUCUGCUUUGAAUAAUAUACCUUCAUAAAAACCUGGAAGGCCAGGUUUGAAUUGAGAAUUCUUGGAGUCCUUGGUGUUCUGCAUCAGGAUGUGGUAGUGGGUGGUGGGAGGAGCUCUUCCCAGUUCACAGCUGUGGUCCCCCUACCUACCCUGUCAUUCUGGCUUUCAGCUGUAGCACCGCGUGAUGUGGCUUGCUCAGGCAGGGAAGGGGCCCACGUAGGCCCUGGAAGUGGGCUGUGCCUAUUUUGGUAGGUCAUUCUGGGGUCACAGUAUCCUGGCAUUGUUCAGAAGGGGCACGGCUUCUGGGUGGGCCUGUCACUCAGCUUGAUGGGGACGGAGGCAUGUGCUGGGGGCGCCCAGAGCAGUGGCCUCUAAAUCAAGGGCCCAGGGCAGGGGCUUAUCUUGCCCAGGUCUAAAGGUGAUGUUGCUUUAGCCUACAUCUAUUUGAGGACAGGCCUUGGCAGACAGCAGGAGUCAUUCUCCAACUGCGUUAUAUUUGAAUUCAAAUAAUUGCUUGGAGAUCUGUGUGCCUCUGGAUUCCUGUCAUUUUUUUCCCUCCUAUUUCUACUUUUCUUAACUCAUACCUCCUUCCUAGUUCUUGGAUUCUGUUUAUUUUUUUUAUUUUUUUUUAAUUUUUGGAGAAAGAGUCUUGUUCUGUUGCUUAGGCUGGAGUAUAAUGGCACAAUCUUGGCUCACUGCAAACUCUGCCUCCUGGGUUCAAGUGAUUCUCCUGCCUCAGCCUCCCAAGUAGCUGAGAUUACAGGCACCCGCCACGACGCCCAACUAAUUUUUGUAUUUUUGUAGAGACGGGGUUUCACCAUGUUGGUCAGGCUGGUCUCAAACUCCCGACCUCAAGUGAUCUGCCCACCUUGGCCUCCCAAAGUGCUGGGAUUACAGGCGUGAGCCACCGUGCCCAGCAGCUCCGUACUCUUAAAUCCAGUGGUUUACAUGGCAGCCUCACUUGGAUGUUGCAUAGAUAUUUAAACCUAGGAGGCCCAAAAAGAAACUGUUGGUUUUCCCUCUGGAAUUUAGACUUCCCACCCCUGUCCCUGCAGGUAAACUUUCUGCCUCAGUCAUGACAGCGGAGUCCAUUAAAGCAGUGGGUCAGACCUUACACAGUGCUUCACCCUGGAUUUCUUGCUUUUCCCCAAACCCACAUUCCCUCCCUCAGCAAGCCCUGAAAAUUUAACUCCAAAUCGGACGUGGAAUUGGCCCGCUCUUCCCCUGCGCUGGCUUACCCAAGCCUAGUGCAGCCUGGACUCCUCCAUCCACUCCUGCCUUCUGUCCUUUCUUGCACAGUGACAACAAUGUCCUUAAUGUGCCAAUGUGUUAUUUGGAUUAUUUCACCUCAUUGCUUGCAAUUCUUUAAAGGCUUUUUUUUUUUUAAGACAGAGUUUGCUCUGUCGCCCAGGCUGGAGUGCAGUGCUGCGAUCUCGGCUCACUGCAGCCUCUGCCUCCCGGGUUCACGCCAUUCUCCUGCCUCAGCCUCCCAAGUAGCUGGGACUGCAGGCACCCACCACCACGCCUGGCUGUUUUUUUGUAUUUUUAGUAGAGAUGGGGUUUCACCGUGUUAGCCAAGAUGGUCUCAAUCUCCUGACCUCAUGAUCCGCCCACCUUGGCCUCCCAAAGUGCUGGGAUUACAGGCGUGAGCCACCGCACCCGGCCACAUAUGGCAUUUUAUUUCAUCUUCCAUUACUCAUUGAUGGACUUAUGCCUUUGCCUUCAGAGCUCACAACAGGCCAAUGUCAAAACCACAACACAAAACACUACAUGAAUAAAAACAAUCAAAUCAUCAUUGUGAUCAGAACAUUCUCUCCCUACAGACCUAUUUAUGUGGGAAAUAACUUUAUAACCAGAAGAUUGCUUGCAGAUUCCAUGAUUAGUACCUUAGAAUUCUACUGUGAAGAGAACCAGAAUACUUCUUUUGCUCUCUAAAACCUUGGGAAAAACACUGGAAAUCCACUGACCUAUUACAUUCUCUUUUUCCUAUGUAAAGCAUUGUUUGGCUUUCCAAUCCCCUUGCCACAACCAUGCAUAACACUUGGUUGUGUAUCUCCAGAUUUUUCCAAAUGUUCAUGCAAAAGUACAUGCGUACAUUUCAGCCUUCGUUUAUUAUAAAAAUGAGAACAUUAAUAUAUACACUUAUGUCAUUUUAUUUCCACUUAAAACACCAGGUAUAUCAGGUUCUAGAGAAGAUCCAUGUAGAUCUUCUCACUUCUUUGCAGAUCUGGAAUACUCCAGUACACAGAUGAUAACAAGAAAAAACAUUUCAUUCCUUUAUUUAAUAAUGUAUAUGCAUAGAGAUGGGUCCUCGCUAUGUAGCUCAAGCUGGUCUUCAGCUUCUGGGCUCGAGUGAUCCUCCC